rnacentral:rRNA from 1 species
AGAUUUUGAUCAUGGCUCAGAAUCAACGCUGGCGGCGUGCCUAACACAUGCAAGUCGAACGAGAAAGUGGAGCAAUCCAUGAGUAAAGUGGCGACCGGGUGAGUAACACGUGACUAACCUACCCUGAAGUGGGGAAUAACCUCGGGAAACCGGGGCUAAUACCGCAUAACAUCGCGAGCUGUAAACGCUUGUGAUCAAAGGAGUAAUUCGCUUUAGGAGGGGGUCGCGGCUGAUUAGCUAGUCGGUGAGGUAACGGUCCACCAAGGCAAAGAUCAGUAUCCGGCCUGAGAGGGCGCACGGACACACUGGAACUGAAACACGGUCCAGACUCCUACGGGAGGCAGCAGUGGGGAAUUUUGCGCAAUGGGGGAAACCCUGACGCAGCAACGCCGCGUGGAGGAUGAAGUCCCUUGGGAUGUAAACUCCUUUCGAUCGGGACGAUUAUGACGGUACCGGAAGAAGAAGCACCGGCUAACUCUGUGCCAGCCGCCGCGGUAAUAC